GGCCGCUCCGCCGGUUUUGCCUGGGCGCCUCGAUGCGCUUGGCCAACGGCCUCAGAGAGCGCUCACCCGAGCGCCCCGGAAGCCAGUGAUCCUCCAGUGGGUGUAGGGGGACAAAAGUGGCUCUAAAUCCAGCACAUGCACACUGAAGCAAGUUAAAGGAUUUAAUAUGAAGCACAGAAGCAGAUAGUGCCAAAUAGCAAGCAGUAAUUGGUCCACAUUUCUGGAAAAGCAGUAUCCGUGUUGUUAUGUACACCUCCAAAAAAAGUUCAGAUCUGUAGGGGAAUUGUUGUGUAAAGUAAACUGAACUACAGGGUAGCAGUAUUUUAAUAGCUAUUGUAGACAUGUAUUUACUGUAUUAAAAUGAGUAAAAGAACAAGCAGUGACACACCACUAGGAAGGGUGAGUGGGGCAGCAUUUCCUUCUCCCACUGCUUCUGAGAUGGUGGAAAUUAGUUGAAUUCAGUAUGAAAUGGAAUACACUGAAGGUAUUAGUCAGCAAAUGAAGGUCUCAGAAAAAUUAAAAGUAGCACCACCAAAUGCUGACCUGGAGCAAGGAUUCCAAGAAGGAGUUCCAAAUGCUAGUGUGGUAAUGCAAGUUCCAGAGAGGAUUGUUGUAGUAGGAAAUAAUGAAGACAUUUCAUUUUCAAGACCAGCAGAUCUUGACCUUAUUCAGUCAACUCCCUUUAAACCUCUGGCACUAAAAACACCGCCCCGUGUACUUACACUAAGUGAAAGACCACUAGAUUUUCUGGAUUUAGAAAGACCUCCUACAACCCCCUAAAAUUGAAGAAAUCUGUGCAGUUGGCAGGCUAAAAAGAGAGUGCUCUAUGAGUGAAAAUGCUGUUCGCCAAAAUGGACAGUUGGUCAGAAAUGAUUCUAUGUGGUACAGAUCAUAUUCUGCCCCAAGAAAUAAAAUUUCAAGGUUCCAGGCACCGAUUUCUUCACUGGAGUACACUGUGAGAAGACAAAAUGAAAUACGUUGUAAGAGACCUGUGUUGCAUGGUGAGUCUACUGCCGCCACUUCUAAUCCUCAUCAUGACAACGUCAGGUAUGGCAUUUCAACUAUAGAUACAACAAUUGAAGGAACUUCAGAUGACAUGACUGUUGUAGAUGCAGCUUCAUUAAGACGACAGAUAAUCUAACUAAAUAGACAUCUGCAACUUCUAGAAGAGGAGAACAAAGAACGUGUUAAAAGAGAAAUGGUCAUGUAUUCAAUUACUGUAGCAUUCUGGCUCCUUAAUAGCAGGCUCUGGUUUCGCCGCUAGAGGUAACCUCAGCUCUCAAAAAAAAUUGUCUCAACAGCGGAAAUAUAAAAGAU